rnacentral:sRNA from 1 species
GGGGGAGUCUGAUAACCAGCACGGGCGUCGGAGUCACCUCCACGCCCGUGCGCGCAUGUUAAGGGGGCGGAAAGAAUA